AACAGGAUUAGAUACCCUGGUAGUCCACACUGUAAACGAUGUCGACUUGGAGGUUGUGCCCUUGAGGCGUGGCUUCCGGAGCUAACGCGUUAAGUCGACCGCCUGGGGAGUACGGCCGCAAGGUUAAAACUCAAAUGAAUUGACGGGGGCCCGCACAAGCGGUGGAGCAUGUGGUUUAAUUCGAUGCAACGCGAAGAACCUUACCUACUCUUGACAUCCAGAGAAUUUGCUAGAGAUAGCUUAGUGCCUUCGGGAACUCUGAGACAGGUGCUGCAUGGCUGUCGUCAGCUCGUGUUGUGAAAUGUUGGGUUAAGUCCCGCAACGAGCGCAACCCUUAUCCUUUGUUGCCAGCACGUAAUGGUGGGAACUCAAAGGAGACUGCCGGUGAUAAACCGGAGGAAGGUGGGGAUGACGUCAAGUCAUCAUGGCCCUUACGAGUAGGGUUACACACGUGCUACAAUGGCAUAUACAAAGAGAAGCGAACUCGCGAGAGCAAGCGGACCUCAUAAAGUAUGUCGUAGUCCGGAUUGGAGUCUGCAACUCGACUCCAUGAAGUCGGAAUCGCUAGUAAUCGUAGAUCAGAAUGCUACGGUGAAUACGUUCCCGGGCCUUGUACACACCGCCCGUCACACCAUGGGAGUGGGUUGCAAAAGAAGUAGGUAGCUUAACCUUCGGGAGGGCGCUUACCACUUUGUGAUUCAUGACUGGGGUGAAGUCGUAACAAGGUAACC
rnacentral:rRNA from 1 species